AGCUUUGCGCAGUGGCAGUAUCGUAGCCAAUGAGGUUUAUCCGAGGCGCGAUUAUUGCUAAUUGAAAACUUUUCCCAACACUAAUAAUCUACAUAUAUGUGUCAAUAUGAUUUUCUAAUAUUUUUUGUAAAG
ensembl:snRNA U4 U4 spliceosomal RNA